ACUCUAGAUUAAACUUCAUCUGCCAUUGCUCAGCCCAACUUUCCAAAUGGUCUAUGUCCCUCUGAAUCCUUUCACAGCCUUGUUCACUAUCUACAACUCCACCCAUUUAUGUUGACAACAAACUCGCUGUUCAGACCACCUCCAUUCUUUACCACGUAGACACAAGGAAUUGCAGAUGCUGGUCUACAACUUUUAACCAACAUUUGGACAGGGACAUGGAUAGAAAAGGUUGAGUGGGAUGGAUAUAGGUCAAAUGCAGGUAAAUGGGACUAGCUUGGAUAGGCAACUUGGUCAGCAUGGACGAGUUGGGGCAUAGUUCUAUUUGACUCUGACACUAUUAUCAGCACAGUUAGCUGGUAGCUCUGUAUAAAAGGUGGGCAGGCAUGUCUGGCAGGUUGAACGUUUGCAUGUAGGUUGCUAGAGUGAAAUGCCAGGCAGUAGGGCAGAAGGAAACUUGGAUGCCAAGAGAAGUUAAGAUAGGGUAGAUGAACAUAGUCUUUUACCCAGAGUAGGGAACUCAAGAACCAGAGAAAGCAUGUUUAAGGUGAGAGAGGAAAGAUUUAGUAGGAACCUGAGGGACAACCUUCUCAUACAGAGGGUGGUGAGCAUGCGUUUGAGUUUAGAGAAGAGAUAAUAUUUUCAAUUUUUACGAGAAUGUUGGCAGGACUCAAGGGCCAGAGCUAUAGUGAGAGGUUGAGCAUGCUACGACUCCAAUCCUUGGAGCGCAGGAGGAUGAGGUGUAAUCUUUUAGAGGUGUACAAAAGAAUGGGGGAACAGAGAACAUAGGUUUAAAGCCAGGGGGGAGAGAUUUAAUAGGAACCUGAGGGAUGACUUUUUUACACAAAGGGUGGUGGGUGUAUGGAACGAGCUGCCAGAGGAGGUAGUUGAGGCAGAUACUAUCCCAGCGUUUAAGAAACAUUUAGACAGGUACGUGCAUAGGAUAUGUUUAGAGGGAUAUGGGCCAAACGCAGGCAGGUGGAUCUAGUGUAGAUGGGACAUGUUGGUCGGUGUGAGGAAGUUGGGCUGAAGGGAUCUAUUUCCACGCUGUAUGACUCUAUAACUGUAAUAUGGAAUGUUCAGCCUGAGGUGAGACACAAGUCAAUUUCUGCGUUAUGUAAGUUAAGUUCAGCAACUCAUCAGGGGGGCUUUUGAUUACAGGGUUUAAUAGCCCAGCCAAGGGGAGAUCAAUCAAACUCUAUGGGAAAACCUUCAGAAAGCCUGAAAAUCAGUGGGCUGGUUUGCAAGCGCCCCCUGCUUGUAAUUCAUUGACUUGCCUUAACACAGCCAAAGGCUUGAGUUUGAUAUGACUAUGGGUGCUGUCCAUGCAGAGUUUGUACCCUGUGACCAUGUGGGUUUUCUCUGGAUGCUUCAGUUUCCUCCUGCAUCCCAAAGACAUGUAGGGUUUGUAGGUGAAUUGGCUUCUGUAAAUCCAACCUAGUAUGUCGGAUGCGAAAGUAGGAUAUCAUUGAUCUAGAGUAUGGGUGAUUGUUGAUCGGUGUGGACUCGGUGGGCCGAAGGAUCUGUUUGGAUUGUAUUGUAUUGUAUUCAAUUUACUGUCAUUAUCUCAUAUUAGAGACAACGGAAUGGAUUUUCCUUACAGUCAAGUAACAUAUAAAUAAUAAAUAAAUAAAACAUAUAUUUUUUAAACCACAAACAGAGAAGUCCACGACACAACAUAACCCCACAGUGGCACCAAAGUUGAGGAAGGAACCAAAGUCCAGCCAGCCUCCCCGCCGAUCUUCCCAGAUGUUCAUGCUGUUUCUCUAAAACGAAAUCAAGGGCAAAUAAAUAUCAUUUUUUAAUCUACACUUUCUCCAUACAUGUAAUGCUACAUAACUGCAAAAGCACUGGAGUAACUCAGGUAUCAUCUCUGAAGAACAAGGGUAGCUGACAUUUCGGGUCGAGACCCUUCUUCGUUGGAGGGAGGAGGAGAACUUCCUCAAAGUAGGCAUACCUUGAGGAGAUUUCACAGUGGAGCAGCCAAAAUGUAGAAACAAAGAACUGCAGAUGCUGGUUAACACACAACCAAACGCAAAUCUCCUCUGCCUGUGUGUGAUCCGUAUCCCUCCAUUCCCCGUGUAUCCAUGUACCAUUCUAAAAGCCUCUCAAAUGCCACUAUCAUACCUGCCUCCACCCCUAUCCCUGGUAGUGUGUUCCAGGCACCAGAUUUAUUUAAAAGGCACCAGGCGAAUUUUGGAGAUGAAAAGAAUAAUUACAAGUGUAAAUGGGAAAAAGGAGCUUGGAUUUGGAACUAAAUGGGGAAAUCCUUCAAAGGGCCAGUACAACUCCGAUGGGCUGAAUAGUCACCUGAUCUGUGGGACUCUAUUAACUUCAGUGGCACAAAAUCCCAUAAACAGACAUAUUCACAUCACACAAGCUCUUUUCAUCAAAACAACUCAGUUGUUGUUCAAUUAAUGCCUUUUUCUGAAUUCACUGUGGUUCAAAAGCUGAAAGAAUUGCUUAAAGUAGGGACAAGGUUUUAUCAGGGAUUCCUUUCCCAACCACAGAACUUCAAUAUAUUAAAAAAAGACCUUUUAAGCAAAUUAUUAACUUUUACUGGGAGUGCCAUUAGUUCCAACCCUCAGUAUGAGAGAGGCAGAUGGCUUCAUUUACAAUUUUAAUUAAAUAUCCAUGGAAAACCCUCAGCUCAGGGACUGUGGAACCCUGCAUUAGGGAAAGAUCUCCACAUUACUUAUUAAUGGAACAAGUUUAACUUGUUCUCCCUCUCUCUUUCUCACACUUACUCUCUCACAUUCUCUCUCUCUCUCUCGCUCUUUCAACCCUCACUCUGCUCUCUCACUUUCAGCUCUCAAUCCUUUCUAUCUUUCUCUUUAACUUUCUCUCUCUCUCUCUCUCUCUCUCUCUCUCUCUCUCUCUCUCUCUCUCUCUCUCUCUCUCUCUCUCUCUCUCUCUCUCUCUCUCUCUCUCUCUCUCUCUCUCUCUCUCUCUCUCUCUCUCUCUCUCUCCUCUCUCUCUCUCUCUCUCUCUCUCUCUCUCUCUCUCUCUCUCUCUCUCUCUCUCUCUCUCUCUCUCUCUCUCUCUCUCUCUCUCAAUCCCCCUCUAUCAACAGUGGUUACUUGAAAUUAGAGAAAUCAAUAUUCAUACCACUGGGAAGUAAGCAACCCAAGCAAAGUUGCGUGUGGUUCCUCCAAUUUGCGUGUAGCCUCACUUUGACAGUGGAGGAAGCCAAGGAGAGAAAGGUCUGAAGAAGGGUUUCGACCCGAAACAUUGCAAUUUCCUUCGCUCCAUAGAUGCUGCCUCACCCGCUGAGUUUCUCCAGCAUUUUUGUCUAAUGACAGAAAGCACCCCCACUUGCCGCAGCUCCUGCUAAGUUGUAGGUGGCCCAUCAGCAGCGUCACAAUUGAAAAUGACGCCGGUGACGUGGCAGUUACGCAAAAUGAUGCCGUUUUCCCACGCAGCUGGGGAAGGCUUGCAGGGUCGGGAUCGCCAUUUUCACUGAACAUCGCAUCGUGUAUGGAUUACUGUUUACAUAUCUGCCCAGCUGUUAUCAAAGGAGUCAUCCUACUACAGCCAGGAAGCAGUGCUGAACUACUAUCCACCUCAUUGGUGACCCUCGGACUAUCCUUGACCAGACUUGGCUGGCUUUACCUUGCACUACAUGUUAUUCGCUUAUCAUGUAUCUAUACACUGUAAAUGGCUCAAUUGUAAUCAUGAUUUGUCUUUCUGCACACAACAAAAGCUUUUCACUGUACCUCAUACACGCGACAAUAAGCUAAACUGAACUGAACUAUUAUAAUGCUGCAAGUCAGAAUUUCAUUGUUCCUUUUCGGGACAUAUGAUAAUAAAGCACUUCUGAUGAUGUUUACCAGAAUGGUGCCUGGAUUAGAGGGUUAUAACUACAAGGUUGUACAAACUUGGAUGGUUUACACUGGAGCACGGAGGCUGAAUGGAGACCUAAUAGAAACAUAUAAAAUUGUAAGAAGCAUAAAUAUGGCAGACAAGGUGGAAAUACCAAAGACUGGAGGGCAUAGCUUUAAGGUGAGGGAGGAGGGACUUUAAAGGAAAUGCAGAGGCCGGAUUUUUACACAGAAAUUGAUAGCUGGCUGGAACAUUCUGCCAGGGGUUGGUAGGAGGGGCAGAUAGGGACUUACACAGUUCCCGCUGCAUCAAAAAAUCCCAGAGUAUCAUAAAGGACAUUUCCCACCCCGGAUACUCCCUGUUUGAACUGUUGCUGUCAGGCAGACGGUACAGAUCUACAAGGACAAGGACGAACAGACUAAAAAACAGUUUUUAACCCACUGCUAUAAAAGCACUAAAUGUAGCCGCCAAGGAACGCAGGGGCGAUACAUACUAAGGGACUGUGGUGCACUGUGAAAUCGACAGAAGGAUGGAAGGUUGGGUGUUUAUGCGUGCUAUUUUCGUGAUAUUUAUUUUGGUUGUUUAUCUUUUAAUAUUUUAUCUUGUAUGUAUCAUUAGCUUUUAGAAAUGUUUGAAUGGUGCACUGACUG